rnacentral:rRNA from 1 species
UACGGAGGAUCCGAGCGUUAUCCGGAUUUAUUGGGUUUAAAGGGUGCGUAGGCGGACUGUUAAGUCAGAUGUGAAAGUUUACGGCUCAACCGUGAAAUUUCAGUUGAUACUGUUGUUCUUGAGUAUACAUGCGGUGGCCGGAAUUUGUCGUGUAGCGGUGAAAUGCUUAGAUAUCACAAAGAACGCCAAUUGCGAAGGCAGCUCCCUGGGCUAUAACUGACGCUGAUGCACGAAGGUGUGGGUAUCAAACAGG